UAAUAGUGUAUAUUAAAGUUGUUGCAGUUAAAAAGCUCGUAGUUGAAUGUUGGUGUCGAACGAGCGGUCAGCUUCGGCUGUACUGCUCUCUCGACUCCUUCCUUCUGUGGACUACGUCGCACUUUACUGUGUGGCGCUAGGACGCAGAUCGUUUACUGUGAAAAAAUUAGAGUGUUCAAAGCAGGCCGUACGCUUGAAUACAUUAGCAUGGAAUAAUGGAAUAGGACGUCGGGCCUAUUUUGUUGGUUCUAGGACCGUCGUAAUGAUUAAUAGGGACAGUUGGGGCCGUUUAUAUUCCGUAGUCAGAGGUGAAAUUCGUGGAUUUACGGAAGAUAAACUACUGCGAAAGCAUUCGGCAAGGAUGUUUNCGUUAA
rnacentral:rRNA from 1 species